GUUGGYUCUACYUKAAGACGGURYGCUAACCGCAAGGAGGCAGCCGGCCACGGUAGGGUCAGCGACUGGGGUGAAGUCGUAACAAGGUAGCCGUAGGUGAACCUGCAGAAGGAUCA
rnacentral:rRNA from 1 species